CAAGAUCAACUCUAAAUGGACUCCCUUCUUUUUCUCUUCACGUUACUUAGCUUUAAAGCGGAUUUCAGUGAUGGCGUUCUGAUCACUCAGUGGCCGAAGUACAUAUACAGUCUUCCAGGCUCUUCAGUUGAAAUGCACUGUUAUCAGAAUGAUACAGACUAUGACUACAAAUACUGGUACAGACAAAUAACAGGAGAACAACCAGUGUUUAUAGGGAGCUACGUUAUUAACACUCCCUCUAAUGAAAAGGGUUUCGAGAAAGGUUUCACCAUGUCAGGUACCGAGAAAAAGAAAUGGACCCUGAAAGUGGAUGUUAAGAAGGGGACUGAUGCUGUGUAUCUGUGCGCAGCUAGUUUACACAGUGAAUAA